ACCAGCGCCGCCCCUGUCCCCACACUACCGCGGCCACCUCCUUCCUCCCUUUUUCCUCUCCCACCAGCUCCCGGGCCCCGCCGUACCACCUCCUUCCUCCCGCGACGCCACUCGAGACCCGCCCCACCAUCUCCUUCCUCGUGGCCGCCGCUCGGGACCCGCCCCACCGCCUUCUUCCUUCGAUGGCCCCGCUGGCGCUCUGGAUCCCCCGGUGCAGCAGUCGUCCCCCUCUCCUCCAUCUCCCACCUCUAGGUCUGCCCCGCGACGGAUCCGGCAGGACCCUCCUCCACCCCUCCUAUCGUGCCUUCCCGGCGACGGAUCCGGCGGGAUCCACCUCCAUCUCCGUCCUCCCGUGCCUGCCCGGCGACGGAUCCGGCAGGACCCUCCUCCACCCCCUCCUACUGUGCCUGAACGACGAUGGAUCCAGCGGGAUCCUCCUCCACAUCCGUCCCCUGUGCCUGCCCGCCGGUUGGAUCCUCCUACACCUCCCAUUCCUGUGCUAGCCGGUCACGGAUCAGGCAAGAUCCUCCACCCCUCUCCUCCCACGCCUUCCUGGAGACGGAUACGGCAGGAUCCUCCUGCAGCUCCUUCCUCUACGGCGGCGUCGAGCUCUCUGCCCUCCCCUACGAGCCGCCCUCCCCUCUCUCCUUUCCUUCUUCCUCCUCUCCCCGCAAACUACCUCCGGCGAGGUCUAGUGCAUGUCCAUCCCCGGCGGCUCACGUGCAGUUCGGCCAACUAUGGCGUGCAGUACGAUGUACGAUGGCAUGCAGUUCCGCGACCUUCCCUGGCGUGCAGUGCCACCAGCGUGCAGUGCAGCUUGCCCUGGCGUGCAGUGCAGCUCGCCCGGGCGUGCAGUGCAUCUCGUCCAUGCAUGCGGGCACCCUCACCUGUAGUUUCUCUCCUUUUGUAGCCUGCUCUUAGUUGUGCCAUAUUAUUUCCAAAAACCGGAUCUCUACAACUCUACGCUUACGGAUUCCCUUGUGGCAGCUGCUGGGAUUAUCGCCCAGGAAGUUGCUCGUGAUCUUUGCAUGACUGAUACUAGCAUAUGACAAGGGUAGAUUCUUUGCCUUUGGACGUGUUUUUGCUGGGAGGGUUGCAACUGGUAUGAAGGUCCGUAUCAUGGGUCCUAACUUUGUUCCUGGCCAGAAGAAGGAUUUGUAUGUGAAGAGUGUCCAGCAUACUGUUAUCUGGAUGGUAAAGAAGCAAGAAACGGUUGAGGAUGUUCCCUGUGAUAACACUGUUGCUUUGGUUGGUUUGGAUCAGUUCAUCACCAAGAAAUGCAACCCUGACAAAUGAGGAGGAAGUUGAUGCCUGCCCAAUCAGGGCAAUGAAGUUCGCUGUGUCCCCUGUUGUGCGUGUUGCUGUUCAGUGCAAGGUGGCUUCUGAUCUUCCUAAGCUUGUCGAGGGUUUGAAGCGGCUAGCGAAGUCUGACCCUCUGGUUCUCUGUAGCAUUGAAGAUUCUGGUGAGCAUAUCAUUGCUGGAGCUGGAGAGCUUCACCUUGAAAUCUGUUUGAAGGAUCUGCAGGAGGAUUUCAUGGGUGGUGCUGAAAUUAUUGUUUCACCUCCUGUUGUCUCCUUCUGUAGAUAACUGAAAAGAAUGAUGGCCAAAACAACUGCAGUACACUUUUUAUGUGUGUGAGAGUUUGCUUUGAACUCUCUGGAAGCUCAUUCGGGCUCAAGAACAAGCUCACGUAUCACAUGCCUUGUUUAAGAAUCAUAGCAAAAAGCAGUAUAGUCAAACCUGCAUGCAGUUACUUGGUUGACAUUGCAGUGCGGUUUUUGAUUUGAA